GCCUCCGUGGUGUAGUGGUUAGCGCGUUCGCCCGGAGAGUGGAAGGGCGCGGGUUCGAUCCCCGACCGCGGGUA
rnacentral:tRNA from 1 species